UAGUCCACGCUGUAAACGAUGAGCACUAGUUGUGGGGAGCAUUAACCCUCUCUGUGAUGUAGCUAACGCAUUAAGUGCUCCGCCUGGGGAGUACGGUCGCAAGACUAAAACUCAAAGGAAUUGACGGGGGCCCGCACAAGCGGUGGAUCAUGUGGUUUAAUUCGAAGCAACGCGAAAAACCUUACCUAGGCUUGAAAUCCUGAGAAUUCUCCGGAAAUGGAGAAGUGCCCUUCGGGGAAUUCAGUGACAGGCGCUGCAUGGCUGUCGUCAGCUCGUGUUGUGAAAUGUUGGGUUAAGUCUCGCAACGAGCGCAACCCCUAUUCUUAGUUGUCAGCACGUAAUGGUGGGGACUCUAAGGAGACUGCCUGCGCAAGCAGAGAGGAAGGUGGGGGACGACGUCAAGUCAUCAUGGCCCUUACGCCCAGGGGCUACACACGUGCUACAAUGGAGUGCACAGAGGGGUAGC
rnacentral:rRNA from 1 species